rnacentral:rRNA from 1 species
UACGAAGGGUGCAAGCGUUGUCCGGAAUUAUUGGGCGUAAAGAGCUCGUAGGCGGUUUGUCGCGUCGGCUGUGAAAACUCGGGGCUCAACCCCGAGCCUGCAGUCGAUACGGGCAGACUAGAGUGCUGUAGGGGAGACUGGAAUUCCUGGUGUAGCGGUGAAAUGCGCAGAUAUCAGGAGGAACACCGGUGGCGAAGGCGGCUUGCUGGGCCUUACCUGACGCUGGAGGGAAGCGAAAGGCGUGGGGAGCGAACAGG